AGGCUUGCUACGGGUUCUGGCGGCCUUAAGCCGACCUGAAUCCUAGCGCCGGUGACGGUCCAUUUUGGGGUCGUUACAUAUUGGUAUCAGAGCCCUAGGUUCACAUGAUCGGACCUAUAGAGACAGUGUUGGGCUCAGACAGGUUAGAAGUGGUCAAGCACACUAGGAAAUCAUGUCCACUAGGAUAGGGUCUUGAGUCCUAUCUGC
rnacentral:lncRNA from 1 species